rnacentral:lncRNA from 1 species
UGGGUGAACUAUGGGGCAUUUGCCCGGAGUUCAUGCUCAGCAUCAGGGUCAAAGCAAAGGGAACUCUGACAAUGAUUCCAUUGUGAACUUGUUCUGGGAAUGCCAUGAUGAUUCUCUAUCAUGUUCCUCGUACACUGCACCAGCACCACUGCUUCCCUUCCCAGUGAGAACCCGAUCAAGCUUUAUCAUGCAGCCCAGAAGGGUGGGGGAAAGAAAAAGAAUUAGGAGAAAAUGUUGUAAAAGUAAUGAGAUAAUAUGAGAAUGUGCUUUGGGAACUGCGAAUCUGGAGUCACUGGUCCAUGAGGAAUCUAGGAUAAGAAGAAGGAAGCUGUGAAGAAUGGUUGGCUAACAGUGCUGGCAAGGAAUUCAGAUCAACAUACCUCUCAAAAGAAUGGAAGUCUCUUAAACUCAGCUUCAGCCAGACCUAGAAGUUUAUCUGCUGAAGCUGUAUACACCCCAUCAGUAGCCCAUCCUGCAGUUGGCUAACUCUGAUUCCAAAUUCCUUUCCGGUGGCGUCCAUCUGCUGUGCAAAAUGUUGUGAAAAGGCU